rnacentral:rRNA from 1 species
AUCGAACGCUGGCGGCAUGCCUUACACAUGCAAGUCGAACGGCAGCACGGACUUCGGUCUGGUGGCGAGUGGCGAACGGGUGAGUAAUAUAUCGGAACAUACCUUGUAGUGGGGGAUAACUAUCCGAAAGGAUAGCUAAUACCGCAUACGCUCUAAGGAGGAAAGUGGGGGAUCGCAAGACCUCAUGCUAUAAGAGUGGCCGAUAUCUGAUUAGCUAGUUGGUGAGGUAAAGGCUCACCAAGGCAACGAUCAGUAGCUGGUCUGAGAGGACGACCAGCCACACUGGAACUGAGACACGGUCCAGACUCCUACGGGAGGCAGCAGUGGGGAAUUUUGGACAAUGGGGGCAACCCUGAUCCAGCAAUGCCGCGUGAGUGAAGAAGGCCUUCGGGUUUUAAAGCUCUUUUGUCAGGGAAGAAACGGUUGUGGCUAAUAUCCAUGGCUAAUGACGGUACCUGAAGAAUAAGCACCGGCUAACUACGUGCCAGCCGCCGCUGUAAUAC